GGUUAAGCGACUAAGCGUACACGGUGGAUGCCCUGGCAGUCAGAGGCGAUGAAGGACGUGCUAAUCUGCGAAAAGCGUCGGUAAGGUGAUAUGAACCGUUAUAGCCGGCGAUGUCCGAAUGGGGAAACCCAGUGUGAUUCGUCACACUAUCGUUAACUGAAUACAUAGGUUAACGAGGCGAACCGGGGGAACUGAAACAUCUAAGUACCCCGAGGAAAAGAAAUCAACCGAGAUUCCCCCAGUAGCGGCGAGCGAACGGGGAGCAGCCCAGAGUCUGAAUCAGCUUGUGUGUUAGUGGAACGGUCUGGAAAGUCCGACGGUACAGGGUGAUAGUCCCGUACACCAAAAUGCACAGGUUGUGAACUCGAAGAGUAGGGCGGGACACGUGGUAUCCUGUCUGAAUAUGGGGGGACCAUCCUCCAAGGCUAAAUACUCCUGACUGACCGAUAGUGAACCAGUACCGUGAGGGAAAGGCGAAAAGAACCCCGGCGAGGGGAGUGAAAAAGAACCUGAAACCGUGUACGUACAAGCAGUGGGAGCACCUUCGGGUGUGACUGCGUACCUUUUGUAUAAUGGGUCAGCGACUUAUAUUCUGUAGCAAGGUUAACCGUAUAGGGGAGCCGCAGGGAAACCGAGUCUUAACUGGGCGUUAAGUUGCAGGGUAUAGACCCGAAACCCGGUGAUCUAGCCAUGGGCAGGUUGAAGGUUGGGUAACACUAACUGGAGGACCGAACCGACUAAUGUUGAAAAAUUAGCGGAUGACUUGUGGCUGGGGGUGAAAGGCCAAUCAAACCGGGAGAUAGCUGGUUCUCCCCGAAAGCUAUUUAGGUAGCGCCUCGUGAAUUCAUCUUCGGGGGUAGAGCACUGUUUCGGCUAGGGGGUCAUCCCGACUUACCAACCCGAUGCAAACUACGAAUACCGAAGAAUGUUAUCACGGGAGACACACGGCGGGUGCUAACGUCCGUCGUGAAGAGGGAAACAACCCAGACCGCCAGCUAAGGUCCCAAAGUCAUGGUUAAGUGGGAAACGAUGUGGGAAGGCACAGACAGCCAGGAUGUUGGCUUAGAAGCAGCCAUCAUUUAAAGAAAGCGUAAUAGCUCACUGGUCGAGUCGGCCUGCGCGGAAGAUGUAACGGGGCUAAACCAUGCACCGAAGCUGCGGCAGCGACACUAUGUGUUGUUGGGUAGGGGAGCGUUCUGUAAGCCUGCGAAGGUGUGCUGUGAGGCAUGCUGGAGGUAUCAGAAGUGCGAAUGCUGACAUAAGUAACGAUAAAGCGGGUGAAAAGCCCGCUCGCCGGAAGACCAAGGGUUCCUGUCCAACGUUAAUCGGGGCAGGGUGAGUCGACCCCUAAGGCGAGGCCGAAAGGCGUAGUCGAUGGGAAACAGGUUAAUAUUCCUGUACUUGGUGUUACUGCGAAGGGGGGACGGAGAAGGCUAUGUUAGCCGGGCGACGGUUGUCCCGGUUUAAGCAUGUAGGCUGAUUGUCCAGGCAAAUCCGGAUAAUCAAGGCUGAGGUGUGAUGACGAGGCACUACGGUGCUGAAGUAACAAAUGCCCUGCUUCCAGGAAAAGCCUCUAAGCAUCAGGUAACAUCAAAUCGUACCCCAAACCGACACAGGUGGUCAGGUAGAGAAUACCAAGGCGCUUGAGAGAACUCGGGUGAAGGAACUAGGCAAAAUGGUGCCGUAACUUCGGGAGAAGGCACGCUGGUGUGUAGGUGAAGUCCCUGCGGAUGGAGCUGAGACCAGUCGAAGAUACCAGCUGGCUGCAACUGUUUAUUAAAAACACAGCACUGUGCAAACACGAAAGUGGACGUAUACGGUGUGACGCCUGCCCGGUGCCGGAAGGUUAAUUGAUGGGGUUAUCCGUAAGGAGAAGCUCUUGAUCGAAGCCCCGGUAAACGGCGGCCGUAACUAUAACGGUCCUAAGGUAGCGAAAUUCCUUGUCGGGUAAGUUCCGACCUGCACGAAUGGCGUAAUGAUGGCCAGGCUGUCUCCACCCGAGACUCAGUGAAAUUGAACUCGCUGUGAAGAUGCAGUGUACCCGCGGCAAGACGGAAAGACCCCGUGAACCUUUACUAUAGCUUGACACUGAACAUUGAGCCUUGAUGUGUAGGAUAGGUGGGAGGCUUUGAAGCGUGGACGCCAGUCUGCGUGGAGCCAACCUUGAAAUACCACCCUUUAAUGUUUGAUGUUCUAACGUUGGCCCCUGACCGGGGUUGCGGACAGUGUCUGGUGGGUAGUUUGACUGGGGCGGUCUCCUCCCAAAGCGUAACGGAGGAGCACGAAGGUUAGCUAAUCCUGGUCGGACAUCAGGAGGUUAGUGCAAUGGCAUAAGCUAGCUUGACUGCGAGCGUGACGGCGCGAGCAGGUGCGAAAGCAGGUCAUAGUGAUCCGGUGGUUCUGAAUGGAAGGGCCAUCGCUCAACGGAUAAAAGGUACUCCGGGGAUAACAGGCUGAUACCGCCCAAGAGUUCAUAUCGACGGCGGUGUUUGGCACCUCGAUGUCGGCUCAUCACAUCCUGGGGCUGAAGUAGGUCCCAAGGGUAUGGCUGUUCGCCAUUUAAAGUGGUACGCGAGCUGGGUUUAGAACGUCGUGAGACAGUUCGGUCCCUAUCUGCCGUGGGCGCUGGAGAAUUGAGGGGGGCUGCUCCUAGUACGAGAGGACCGGAGUGGACGCAUCACUGGUGUUCGGGUUGUCAUGCCAAUGGCACUGCCCGGUAGCUAAAUGCGGAAGAGAUAAGUGCUGAAAGCAUCUAAGCACGAAACUUGCCCCGAGAUGAGUUCUCCCUGAGACUUUAAGUCUCCUGAAGGAACGUUGAAGACGACGACGUUGAUAGGCCGGGUGUGUAAGCGCAGCGAUGCGUUGAGCUAACCGGUACUAAUGAACCGUGAGGCUUAACCUU
rnacentral:rRNA from 1 species